UUGGAGGGCAAGUCUGGUGCCAGCAGCCGCGGUAAUUCCAGCUCCAAUAGCGUAUAUUAAAGUUGUUGCAGUUAAAAAGCUCGUAGUUGAAUUUCGAGAUCAGUACGCUGGUCGUGCCUUCGGUAUGCACUGGUGUCACUGGUUUCUCCCUUCUGAAGAACCGUCAUGUCAUUAAGUUGGUGUGGCGGGGAGUCAGGACUGUUACUUUGAAAAAAUUAGAGUGUUUAAAGCAGGCUCGCGCUUGAAUACAUUAGCAUGGAAUAAUGAAAUAGGACGUUUGACCCUAUUUUGUUGGUUUCUAGGAUCGACGUAAUGAUUAAUAGGGAUAGUUGGGGGCAUUAGUAUUCAAUUGUCAGAGGUGAAAUUCUUGGAUUUAUUGAAGACUAACUACUGCGAAAGCAUUUGCCAAGGAUGUUUUCAUUAAUCAAGAACGAAAGUUAGGGGAUCGAAGACGAUCAGAUACCGUCGUAGUCUUAACCAUAAACUAUGCCGACUAGGGAUCGGAUGAUGUUAAUUUUUUAAUGACUCAUUCGGCGCCUUACGGGAAAC
rnacentral:rRNA from 1 species